CUCCUCAAAAACAAAAAGUAGAGGAAAAAGACUUAAGCCAAUUUUAAGUUGUAAGUGUAUAGAUGUCAAGGAUUUCAGUUGGUACAGAUGUGUGUGCUAUUGGACAGGUCUCAGAUUUGCUUGUUUGAGACCAUCUAAGGUACCGGUACACACUUGGUUGCUAUUUCACUGCUUUAUCUAGCAGAUCUAAUGGGCCCCCUUUAAAGACCUAUAGUGAAUGAAGAGAUUUUUAUUUUGUAUUGAAAGUGAGUCAUGUCGGGUUGUUUGAAAUUCCGAUUUUAAUUGUGUUGCCCAUAUUUGAAGAUGAGAUGACUGGCUCUUAUCUAUGAACACGCACUUUAUUGUUGGUUUGUAGAAAGACUAGAUUGUGCUAACCCCAGUAUUCUGUUGUUUCGAGGCUGGCUGGGGUUGAGAUUAGUCUGGCUGUGGAGCAGAUAUGUAAACGUUUGUCUGGGAAGGCUAACUACCCAGUGCAGUACUCUGGAAAUGUUUUACACAGAUCUGCUUUAGGAGUUACCUGCUUACUCUCACUGAUAUUGCCUUAGCUGUAAAGAUUAUUUCAAAGUACAUUCUUUCAUGUUUUCUUCUGGCUUUCAGUCCUACCUAAGUAUUAAGGGAAAUUAAAUUGUAAAUAGGUAGUUGUUUACAAAGGAUAUGUACUGCUCUUGCAAGGAAAUAAUGUCCAAACAAAGCUUCACUUAUUUUUUUUAAUAGAAGCAUAUUUCACUGUUUAUGGCGCUUAUGUAAUACAUUUUUUAUCUUUUUAAAAGAAUUGUCCAUGUAAAAGUCAGGGUUCCUUUAUAUUUGUGAGCCUCCUUGUCACCUUUCUAUGGUUUUCAGAUCUGCAGGAUAGUCCUGAUUAAGACACAGCAAAUGAAUUUUUCUCUUGGAAAAAUGUUCCAUUUUAGGGGUGUUAUUUUCUAUAGCUCAGAAACAGCUGCAGCACAUUCUAAACAAAGUGAUGGACCGCAGGCACCUCCCUAACCUCCCCAAAUGUAUUAUUCAUUUCUGAAGGAUUGAAGUCAGACAUAACUCAAGCAGGAUACUGGUUAUAAAUGGAGAUGUUGAAGCUAUUCAAAAACACUGGAAGUCAGUCUUUACAUUUCUAGCUUUCAGUAGAAUGCACAUGUUUUACAUGCAUGUGGACCAUUUCAGAAAGCACUCAGACAUUGGGUGUCUGGAUGAAUGCAAGUGUUUUUAGUGGAGUUGCUCUUUUCCUUUGGAGCCCACGGCUGUUCUGUAUUACUAGUUACAGCUGUUAAAGAUAAGGGUGUUGGUGUCGGUGUCAGGUGUGCAAUGAAGAACAGGGAUCUUGUUUUCCUCACCCAUGUCUAAACGCCUAUUCUUGAGGGAACAUUUUCUUGCAAAAGACUUUACAAUUUUGUUUUUGUAUCUUCGUACUUUUUCUUUAUUACAGAAAGGUUCUGUGUUGAAGACCUAUUUGAACUUUAUGCAGUAAUGUUGGGGGAUUACAUUGUUUAAAGCAUAGGGGAAAGUACUAAAGCCUGAUUUUCCAUGAAUAUUUCAAAAUGUUUUAAUCCACUUAGACUAAAAGUUUGCAGUGCUUUGGUUUAUUCCACACAGCUUACAAUGUUGAGAUUUCUUAGUGCUGAAAACAGAAUUUGACAAGUUAAAAAUGGCAGGCUGUUUGCAGUAACCCUGGAAAAAAAGAGCUAUGGUGGGAAUUUGGAACAUUUUCUCUAAAAAGAAAUUGCACCACCAAGUCCUCCAUGUUAAUAUAGGUGGCUUUGGUUAGGAGAUGGGGAGGCUCACAUGCUAAUGUUGGAACAGGUAAUUGUCAGAUUGAUAACUAGUGGUUAGUGUCAGGAGAUGCUCAGUUUUUAGGGACACAAAAUUGCUAGAAUUCAUCCAAGCUAGGGAACUGGUUUGCUCUGUUACCUUAAGCAAUAUUUUGCUUUGUUUUGUUUUGUUUUGUUUUUUCUCCUGGGAAAACUUUGUUUCUGUGCCAAGUAUUCUCUGCUUUCGUCAAUGUCUUAUAGUGAUGAAGGGUUAGCAUUUAGCACACUUUGUAUUUAACCACCUUCUUCUAUGACUGAGUCUCCAAAUACCCAUGUGAUGAAGAGGUCUAUGUUACAAAAUGACUGUUAAAGGCCAUUUCUGACAGUUUGCUAGAAUACAGUGGCACCUUGUGGUUGACUUUUUUUUUAACAGAUGGAGGAUAAUUUUUUUAUCCUCCAUGAAAGGAAAUAAUUUGUAAUCUGCCUUAGCUGAUUUGUUUAAUGUUUUUCCUGACAGGCUUCUGUGACACAUGUCUUACCAAAAAUAUGCAGUACCUGGAAGCCAUUUUCACAGGGCACUUAGGUUCUUGGCUAAUCUUCUAAGACUGUUCUGAUUCUUGCUCUCUUGAAGUAUUCUUUCUGUACCUUUGUAAGGAGGUAGAGAGGGCACAUGUGAAGGUGUCUCUUUUUCCCCUUUAGUACAGUUCAGUAUGUCUAAUGCUCAGUAACAGUGUUGUAAUUGAGUUAACUAGUAAAUGGUUCUUUUAAAAGUCAUUUUUAAGUGUACGUUGAUGUAUCAUGCCUCAUUUGGGAAGUUAAAGUGCAAGGUCUGAGGAAAGAGUAUUUCUAAGUCCCAGUUUAAGCAAAAACAGCCGUGAGCUCAAUCAAUAUCCACCCUUUAGAUUUUUGUAACAUUCUGAAUUACCGUUAUUGAGGUAAGGUCUUGCCGCGACUCCCAGCUGGCCUGGACCUCUGAACCAGGCUGGCUUCAAACUUGUGGCAGGCCUCGUGCCUCUGCCUCUUGAAUGUUAGGAAUGCAGGUACUUAGCACUCGAUUCCUUUACCUUCACUGGAUCAUUUCUAAAAUACUAUCCAACACUCCAGGAAGUGAGUGGCCUCCUGUAAGUCAUCAUAGUUUGUAUCUAAAAGCCUACAGCUUAGAAUAGAACUACUACCGGGGAUUUUUUUUUAAGUAUCAGGUUUAUGAUUUUUUCAUGUCCAUGUAGAUGUCUGGAUUAAAAUCUUAAAAAGGUUAACUCAAAAUUACAGUGAGAUAUGGGACUUUUUGAAUAUUUUGAGAGGGUCUUGUUUUCUAGCCCAGGCUGGCCUGGAAUUAGUGGUCCUCCUGAUUAGGGGAUUAUUGAUGUGUGUGUCCCCCCACCCAGCAAAGAUGUGUUUACUGAAGUCCCACAGCUGCUGUCUAGUCAUUUGGGAAAAGCAGCUAGAGAUGCGCAGUGAAGGUGAACCCUGUCAGACCACUGUGCCUUGUUUCAAGGAUUUUCUCAGUUCUCAUUCUGAAGAUUGUUUCCAGUUGCAAGUUACAGUCAAGCCAGCUACCCAGCCUUAACUCUGUUCAGUGCCCUGUUACUAACGUUUUUAAUGGGUUGGUUUAUACAUGUUUAAACCGUCCAGCAGUUGGAUUUUACCUCUUGAUAGUUCCAUUUGUCCCUGGUGCUGCUUUUAAAGGUAUAGGGCCCUGUGAAGUGUCCAGUGGAGUAGGUACGCAGUUGGCCUGGUAAUGGAAAAGCUGCUUUGGAAUAGAUGUUUACUUGGGUUCCUGUGCAAAACUGGGCAGCAAUCCUGGAAAGCUCUGUAAAGCCUGUAAGGAAGGAUUUGAAGAGGGCUGCCCUUAGGUCUUUGAACAUGAAGCACUUGUGUGCAUGCUGUCAAAAGACUGCAGUGAUUGUCAUCCCAGGCUUCCUGACCUCCAGGAAACACUUGGAAAGGCGACAGAGGAGCACCAAGGGAAGGGAAUUUGCUUGGCUUGUUUUGUCUGUUUUCUCAUUUCCUUACCAUUUAAACCUGAACGAAACACCCUUCUCCGGUAUCUGAUCCAGCAAACUCUUGGUUGGGAAGCCCUGUGUUGAAUUUCGAG